rnacentral:misc_RNA from 1 species
AGAGAUGUCAUUAGAUUAUCAUUUCACUGUAGAGCAAGAAGUGGGUUCAUCCACUCAUGCAUUCUUUGGGUUCAAUGGAACAGGAGGUGUGUGGAGAAUAGCAGCAAUUAAUGAAGCUGGUGGAUGGAAAGACAGAACAACUGUAGAGGAUAUGGACCUUGCAGUUAGAGCUAGUCUUAAAGGCUGGAAGUUUCUUUAUCUUGGUGAUCUCCAGGUGAAAAGUGAACUACCUAGUACAUUCAAAGCCUUUCGUUUUCAGCAGCAUCGUUGGUCGUGUGGUCCUGCA